AACUCCGGGAAACCGGGGCUAAUACCGGAUGGUUGUUUGAACCGCAGGUUCAGACAUAAAAGGUGGCUUCGGCUACCACUUACAGAUGGACCCGCGGCGCAUUAGCUAGUUGGUGAGGUAACGGCUCACCAAGGCGACGAUGCGUAGCCGACCUGAGAGGGUGAUCGGCCACACUGGGACUGAGACACGGCCCAGACUCCUACGGGAGGCAGCAGUAGGGAAUCUUCCGCAAUGGACGAAAGUCUGACGGAGCAACGCCGCGUGAGUGAUGAAGGUUUUCGGAUCGUAAAGCUCUGUUGUUAGGGAAGAACAAGUGCCGUUCAAAUAGGGCGGCACCUUGACGGUACCUAACCAGAAAGCCACGGCUAACUACGUGCCAGCAGCCGCGGUAAUACGUAGGUGGCAAGCGUUGUCCGGAAUUAUUGGGCGUAAAGGGCUCGCAGGCGGUUUCUUAAGUCUGAUGUGAAAGCCCCCGGCUCACCCGGGGAGGGUCAUUGGAAACUGGGGAACUUGAGUGCAGAAGAGGAGAGUGGAAUUCCAGUUGUAGCGGUGAAAUGCGUAGA
rnacentral:rRNA from 1 species